GCCAGACUCCUACGGGAGGCAGCAGUGGGGAAUAUUGGGCAAUGGGCGCAAGCCUGACCCAGCAACGCCGCGUGAAGGAAGAAGGCUUUCGGGUUGUAAACUUCUUUUCUAAGGGACGAAGAAAGUGACGGUACCUUAGGAAUAAGCUCCGGCUAACUACGUGCCAGCAGCCGCGGUAAUACGUAGGGAGCGAGCGUUAUCCGGAUUUACUGGGUGUAAAGGGCGUGUAGGCGGGAUGGCAAGUCAGGCGUGAAAACUAUGGGCUCAACCCAUAGCCUGCGUUUGAAACUGUCGUUCUUGAGUGAUGGAGAGGCAAGCGGAAUUCCGUGUGUAGCGGUGAAAUGCGUAGAUAUUAGGAGGAACACCAGUGGCGAAGGCGGCCUGCUGGACGACAACUGACGGUGAGGCGCGAAAGCGUGGGGAGCAAACAGGAUUAGAUACCCCAGUAA
rnacentral:rRNA from 1 species